CAGCUCAUUAACCACAGACAGUGGGUAGAGGAAGAAGAAGAAGGCUUGAAGAUUUUAAUACACGGAUAACAUCAAAUGAAAGCCGCUGCUGCAGCUUCGACUGCUGACCAGGUUGAUAAGCAGGCAGAAUCGGCAGCCGCACAGCAACAACUAAUCCCAUUUUAAAAAAGGCGGGUUACGUUUUUAUGGAGAGGUAAGUGCUGUGGCCAGGUGCAGUGACCUUAGCUCCAUAGUCACGGACAUGAACAUGCCUCUCCCAAAAUGCUGAACUGAGCUACCGCAGCUCCGGCCUCAUCGGAAAAUGAGGUCAGCCGGAUGGUUCUGUCAGUGCUCAACGGACACUGCAAAACAAUGGCGGACAACAAGCCCCAGGGGUUAGCUCUGGGCGCUGAAGAUCAUCGUGGGACUUGCAUGGCCCACAGAGCCCAGUCAGAAGAAGCAGAUGCAGUACAUGUCCCAGACAAAUUUUCCUUGGGACGAUACAGUUUAAGCCUAAUGUCAGUCUUAAACACACUGUGGUAUUGUACCCAAAUUUCGAGGACAGGCACAGAUCAACUCUGACUAAUCCUGUAAAGUUUGGAGGCAUACGGAUGGAGCUACAGCAGCAGGAUCAAUUUAAAUUUAAAUGUCAGGAUCUGCUCCACUCACCGACUCUUCGCCUGGACUCUUCCUGCUUUAUUUUGUAAUCACUUACCUGUUGUGGUUCUGGUUGUUUAACUUCCUGUCUUUGGUUUUUUUUUUCCCGCCUUUUGUGAUCGCUUGCCCCGCCCUAAUUAGUUUCACCUGUGUCCUAUUGUCUUCCCCUCACUAGUCUAUUUAAGUCUCUGUGUUCCCUCUGCUCUGGUUCGUCUGUGUUCGCUCCCUCAUGUUUCUCUGUUGUUGUUGUUUUUUUAAUCCCACGUUGGUUUAUCUGCUUUGUUCCUGGUUUAACUCCUCAGUUUUCCUCGUGUUUAUUUUCCUGCCACCUGGAUCCCUGUCUGCCAUCUUGUUUACCUGAAUGACUGUGGCCUCUGGCGUCGGAUGUGACUCCCCUAUUUGAUUUUUCUCCUGCCAUCCACUGACUCCUCCUCGAUGACCUGUGACCUCUGGAUCCUGCGUUAUGCUGUCUGUUUCUGGUGGCUCUUGUCCAGGGGCCUGCACCACAAACACGGGAUACCAGAAGUACGAGAGUGACUGACGGGAAUCUGUGAAUGAAGACUGACAGCAAGCGGGGAGCAGAAACGGCAGGAAAAUGGCAGUCUUUCUUCAGCUGUCACGUGACCACCUGCCUGCCGUGUGGGGCUCGGCUGACCAUUUGCAGCCACUGUGCAAUACUUAGAACGAGAUCUUAUUGUUUCAUAUUUUUCUCCGUUUCAUCUCAAAGUGAUUGAAAGAUGAAGAAAAGAAGAAAGAAAGUCUGACAGCAGCUGGAAAAACCGCAAAUUCACUCUGCACACUGUACACUGUUUGGUAAUUGUGUUUAUUCUGGCUCAACAUCUCUGUGAUGACUGUUUGAGUUAAUAAGGGAAAUCUAUUACCGCGCUCGAUCCACCCUGUUGACUUAAUGUGUCGGCGCGAUUCAAACAGAGUGGAGAGUUUAAAUAGAAGCCCGUUCUCUCAGGUCGGUUUUCAAACAGUUUACUUUUAAUUAUCCACAAAAUAAAGACCAAGUAUGCCGACAUCAAAGUUGUUACUGUUGUAAUAAUGAUGUUCGCAUAUUAACAGACGAGACGCUGAGCAAACCUGAUACGAAGACGAGGCGUCUUGCUGUAAAUACACAGUGUCACGCUGAACCACUGAUCGCUGGGUUUACACAGGAAAUGUACAAGCAGGCACUGACACCUGACCAGCGGUACUUUUAGAGGAAAGACGUUUCCUUGCACGCGACUGUUCAUGUUCUCGACCAAAACAAAUCUCUCUGGGGCUUGUUUAGUUUUUAUGCUUGAUCACUGUUGAGCAAUAAGUAAUUGCCACAUAAAAAGACACACACACGUUACGGCACGAUCUAGGAACCCACGAUAUUUGACUAAUAUCAGAACAUCUACCAAGACUUUCAUUUCCAGUCUGAUUUUCUAUUUGUUCAAUUUCCAAACUAAUAUUACAGAACAGAUAGCAUCUCAACCUCGAAAUUCACAUGGGUACAAUUUAAAGCAGGAAACAAAUAAAAAACAAAACGUAGAUCAAAUAAAUAAACUGAUAAUAAUGCCAAUAUUAAUAAUAAUAAGUUACAUGCCAGAUAUGAGAAAUUAACAUGGUUGUGUAUAUGACUAUUUGUAACUUUUGAAGAUUUUGCCUCAUUUUCUUUGCCCUUGUGUUGUUUUUUGUUUUGCU